rnacentral:rRNA from 1 species
UGGGGAAUUUUGCACAAUGGGGGAAACCCUGAUGCAGCGACGCCGCGUGAUUUAGAAGGCCUUCGGGUUGUAAAAAUCUUUUUUAUGGGAUGAAAAUGACAGUACCAUAAGAAUAAGGUCCGGCUAAAUACGUGCCAGCAGCCGCGGUAAUACGUAUGGACCGAGCGUUGUCCGGAAUCAUUGGGCGUAAAGGGUACGUAGGCGGCCCAGUAAGUUAGAAGUGAAAUAAUAUAGCUCAACUAUAUAAAGCUUUUAAAACUGCUAGGCUUGAGAGAUGGAAGGGAAAGGGGAAUUCCUAGUGUAGCGGUGAAAUGCGCAGAUAUUAGGAAGAAUACCGGUGGCGAAGGCGACUAUCUGGUCAUCAUCAGACGCUAAGGUACGAAAGCGUGGGUAGCAAACAGG